CCCUUAGAUGUCCUGGGCUGCACGCGCGCUACACUGAUGUGUCCAGUAAGCACCUAACCUCUUCCUAAAGGAACGGGUAACCUUUGCAAAGCACAUCGUGAUGGGGAUAGAUUAUUGCAAUUAUUAGUCUUGAACGAGGAAUUCCUAGUAAGCACAAGUCAUCAGCUUGUGUUGAUUACGUCCCUGCCCUUUGUACACACCGCCCGUCGCUCCUACCGAUUGAAUGUUCCGGUGAGCUCUUCGGACUGCGCGGUCUGCAGUUUCUGCGUUCCGUGCGGAAAGUUGCGCAAACCUUAACAUUUAGAGGAAGGAGAAGUCGUAACA
rnacentral:rRNA from 1 species